AUUGAACGCUGGCGGCAUGCUUUACACAUGCAAGUCGAACGGUAACAGGCCUUCGGGUGCUGACGAGUGGCGAACGGGUGAGUAAUGCAUCGGAACGUGCCCAGAGGUGGGGGAUAACGCAGCGAAAGCUGUGCUAAUACCGCAUGUGAUCUGAGGAUGAAAGCGGGGGACCAGGCAGCAAUGUUUGGCCUCGCGCCUUUGGAGCGGCCGAUGUCAGAUUAGGUAGUGGUGGGGUAAAGGCCUACCAAGCCGACGAUCUGUAGCUGGUCUGAGAGGACGACCAGCCACACUGGGACUGAGACACGGCCCAGACUCCUACGGGAGGCAGCAGUGGGGAAUUUUGGACAAUGGGCGCAAGCCUGAUCCAGCAAUGCCGCGUGCGGGAAGAAGGCCUUCGGGUUGUAAACCGCUUUUGUACGGAACGAAAAGGCUCUGGCUAAUACCUGGGGCUGAUGACGGUACCGUAAGAAUAAGCACCGGCUAACUACGUG
rnacentral:rRNA from 1 species